CUGAGAUGCAGUGCCUUAGACCGCUGCGCUACUCGGGAGCCCAGUUCAAAAAGAGCCCACCAAAGGUCCCAUACAAAGCCAUUGCACUGGCCACCUUCCUCUUCUUGAUUGACUCUCUUUUGAUCACCAUUGGAGCCCUCCUAUUGGCAGGAUACUUUGAAGUCACAGAUUCUAUCACAUGCGGAUAGCUUACUAUGCAUCGAAGGGCUACUGUGGUUACUCUUAUGACAUAUCCCAGACUUUGAUGACUGAGCCACUCCUAGCUGAGGCAACUCCUUUGUUAUUUUCAUAUAACAUUGUUGAAUACAGUAAACAGACUGGGAUCCAGGUUAGUCUUAAAGCAGAUAUCCCUUUGAUGUUUAUGUUCAUCAUGUAAUGUCCAUUCACUUUUUGUUCUUUGACUGGAUUACCACCAUUGUUCAUUAUGAAUGACUACUAUAUUUAGAUCAGAUAGGUUUGUGUUAUUGUUGCUAACAAAGAACAUGCACAUUUUUAUUUACUUUAUUUAAUUUUUUGUAUUAACCCAUCCAGCUUUUUUGCUACAUAUGCAUACA